GACGAACCGUGCGAACGUUAUUCGGAAUUACUGGGCGUAAAGGGCUCGUAGGCGGCCAACUAAGUCAGACGUGAAAUCCCCAGGCUUAACCUGGGAACUGCGUCUGAUACUGGAUGGCUUGAGAUUGGGAGAGGGAUGCGGAAUUCCAGGUGUAGCGGUGAAAUGCGUAGAUAUCUGGAGGAACACCGGUGGCGAAGGCGACAUCCUGGACCAACACUGACGCUGAGGAGCGAAAGCCAGGGGAGCAAACGGG
rnacentral:rRNA from 1 species